CAUGUUCAUGUAUCUCUCUGUCAUUUCAACUUAGCCAUUUUCGACCAGGCCUAGAUCUAUAUAGUAUAUGUGCAUUUUACUGCUUGAAAAGCGCAGUUAAAAGUCACCCCGGCCUCUUUUGAAAUUACCCAGUCCUUGCCUGCAUGGGACAGCCUGCAAAAAAGCCCCCGAGAUAUCUUGCUUUGAUCGUCAAACAAAUGCUCAGACAUGUUUUAAUGUUAUUAAAUCUGAUUAUAUAGCUAUAUUUUGUUUCAUUACGUUCAAGUAUUUAGUUACUUGAUGUUUAUCUUAUUAGGUAGUUCGGUUGUACCAGCCACGCACCCGCUUCUGACCGUGCGCGAUCGCCGUUGCCCGGGGAUCGAUACGUAUGCAUAUUAUUAUUACGCUAGCCUAUUACAGUUUAGCCUCUCAAUAACGACCUUCGAUAUAACGACAUCCUCUGUAGACAUGGAGCCCAGGUCCAGAUAUUUCCUAUACUAUAUAUAUCGUUAGUAAUUUUGGGUUGCCUCUCUAUGACGACAACUCUUUAUAACGACAUUUUCUUCUAGUCCCGACAUAGCCCAAUGUGCCAUUAUAGAGAGGCUGCACUGUAUAGCGAUAGCGAUGUGCCAUUAUAGAGAGGCUGCAUUGUAUAGCGAUAGCGAUGUGCCAUUAUAGAGAGGCUGCACUGUAUAGCGAUAGCGAUGUGCCAUUAUAGAGAGGCUGCACUGUAUAGCGAUAGCGGCUUUAGUUCACGUCCAGGUGGGCCUUCUUGUUUGAAAGGCCAUUGAAAGGAGAGAGAGCGCUCUAGGCCUACAUCUUCACAACAAUGGUGUUUAUGUUUCGUGACGAUCGAUUGAGUAUUUCCAGUAGGGCCGAAGUAGCCUAGACGCACAUAGGCGGUCGUCCGCCCCCGGGCUUCCCCGGUUCGCCUCACAGCCACGUGGUGUUCGUUUGGCCAAUUGGACAGGAGUACCCUAUUUUGAAGGGUCAUUUUUGCGUCAUAUCCGGUCAAUCCAAUCCAUUUUUAAAAGGCGCGGAGUUCCAGAGUUCCAGGUCGGAGUCGUAGAGAUAGAUCAAGAUUUAUGAAUGUUUGAAUUGUUUGCGUGACCGUCAGACGUCGGGUUUGUGAGCAGUAUCGAGUUGAAGUUCAAGAUUCCUUUUUCCUGUGGAUACACAGACUGAGACAGCCUGACUGAGGUCCAAUUUAUUCUUAUAAUUAGUGAAGCAGUCGACUCUACGGGUGGAUUUUGACAAGAUAGACGGGACAAGCAUUGGUGGGGAUGCUGCCUCUUCGGACACUGCAACACACAAAAUGACUACUAGUGCA